UGAUAAUGACUGCAGGUUUUAUAUCUCAUGAACAGUCGCAAGAUACAAAUCGGUUACAGUGUUUGCAUCGUUUCGGAAAGAUGCAGCGACGGUUCGCUGAGAACAGCGUCUGGACAACGCAGUAUCUUAACUGCUAAACGGAAUAUUCUAAGGAUUAUGCUAAUUGCCUAAUUAGGCUAAAUCUAAAGAUAUUUUAUUCCUAACACUUAUCUUUGAGCUGCACGCCCUUCUUGUUGUUUGACGGUGCAGACCCAUCCCAACCCGAUCCGUGUGCUUCCGGGGGUUUGGAAGAAUGGAAGGUCACCGACCUCCCUCCGCUCUCGCUCUCGCUCUCGUGGGCGUGGACCGGCGGACACGGACGAGACGGAUAUGGGGACGGAUACAUACGGCCGCUGCGGAGGAGUCGUCGCUCGUCGCUCGGCCCGAGAGAAAGCCAAACGUUUGGCACCGCAAGAUCCAGAAAAGGCGACGCGCCGGCGCCACCACGUCGGUGUCAGACUGUCAGCGUUGAUGGCAUGGCACUACGUUUUUCUUUCGGCACGUGUUUGUGGCGGCACCAAAAAUACGCUUUUGGCCCUCUCGGCACCUGUGAGGUGCUG
rnacentral:lncRNA from 1 species